rnacentral:rRNA from 1 species
UACGGAGGGUGCAAGCGUUAUCCGGAUUCACUGGGUUUAAAGGGUGCGUAGGCGGCUUGUCAAGUAGGGUGUGAAAGCCCCCGGCUUAACCGGGGAAUUGCGCCCUAAACUGACGAGCUGGAGUGGGACAGGGGUGUGUGGAACUUCCGGUGGAGCGGUGAAAUGUGUUGAUAUCGGAAGGAACGCCGGUGGCGAAAGCGACACACUGGGUCUCAACUGACGCUGAGGCACGAAAGCCAGGGGAGCGAACGGG